AGCGAACGCUGGCGGCAGGCCUAACACAUGCAAGUCGAACGAACCCUUCGGGGUUAGUGGCGGACGGGUGAGUAACACGUGGGAACGUGCCCCUCACUUCGGGAUAACUCCGGGAAACCGGGGUUAAUACCGGAUAUGACCUCCUUGGGCAUCCUUGGAGGUGGAAAGUUUUUCGGUGAGGGAUGGGCCCGCGGCCUAUCAGCUUGUUGGUGAGGUAGGGGCUCACCAAGGCGACGACGGGUAGCCGGCCGGAGAGGGCGACCGGCCAACCUGGGACUGAGACACGGCCCAGACUCCUACGGGAGGCAGCAGUGGGGAAUAUUGCGCAAUGGGCGAAAGCCUGACGCAGCAACGCCGCGUGCGGGAUGACGGCCUUCGGGUUGUAAACCGCUUUCAGCAGGGAAGAAGCCGCAAGGUGACGGUACCUGCAGAAGAAGCACCGGCUAACUACGUGCCAGCCGCCGCCGUAACAC
rnacentral:rRNA from 1 species